AGCGAACGCUGGCGGCAGGCCUAACACAUGCAAGUCGAACGAAGUCUUCGGACUUAGUGGCGGACGGGUGAGUAACACGUGGGAACGUGCCCUUUGGUACGGAAUAACUCAGGGAAACUUGAGCUAAUACCGUAUGUGCCCUUCGGGGGAAAGAUUUAUCGCCAUUGGAGCGGCCCGCGUCUGAUUAGCCAGUUGGUGAGGUAAAGGCUCACCAAGGCGACGAUCAGUAGCUGGUCUGUGAGGAUGGUCAGCCACAUUGGGACUGAGACACGGCCCAAACUCCUACGGGAGGCAGCAGUGGGGAAUCUUGCGCAAUGGGCGAAAGCCUGACGCAGCCAUGCCGCGUGAAUGAUGAAGGUCUUAGGAUUGUAAAAUUCUUUCACCGGGGACGAUAAUGACGGUACCCGGAGAAGAAGCCCCGGCUACUUCGUGCCAGCCGCCGCGGUAACAC
rnacentral:rRNA from 1 species